UACAGAGGGUGCGAGCGUUAAUCGGAGUUACUGGGCGUAAAGGGCGCGUAGGCGGUCUUACAAGUGAGAUGUGAAAUCCCCGGGCUCAACCUGGGAACUGCAUCUGUGACUGCAUCGCUGGAGUACGGUAGAGGGGGAUGGAAUUCCGCGUGUAGCAGUGAAAUGCGUAGAUAUGCGGAGGAACACCGAUGGCGAAGGCAAUCCCCUGGACCUGUACUGACGCUCAUGCACGAAAGCGUGGGGAGCAAACAGG
rnacentral:rRNA from 1 species